ACAGAAAAGAAAACAUUAACCCACCAUGUAGCCAAGAGCUGGAUUAAUCUUUUAAGCAAUUCAGAAGAGAAUCCCAACACGAACCCUAAAAGACCAUUCAAAUAAUCUGGAAAAUGCUAAGCUAUCUCUGCUUGUAAGAGACCACAGUGAUGGGUUUUUCAGUUAUUCGGGGCAUAACUUUGACUCCUUGAUUCAGAAGUAAGCUUUAGUGUAAGUUGUUUUAGUUUUCAUGUGUUUGGAAGUAAUAACCACCGGACAUUUCUUUGAGCCUAAAGCUGGACACAGUCUGCCACCCUGGGCACAUGAGAGUCACUCUGAGAAAGGGUGUUUAAUGAGUAACUCUGCAGUAAAAGUCCUCGAAAAACUUCUUCUAAACAUUAGACCCCGUACUUUCUUUCUGAAAUACAUUAACAGCCUCCAGAAGGUUCAGAGAUGCUGUGGCAGCCCUGUUAGACUUCAGAAGUCCCUGAUAUCUCAAGUGCAUCAAAAGUCUAGUCGGCCGGAAUCGUGGAAGCCUCGGGUCAAGAUGCUGCAGGAGAAUAAAGCAGGACCUGGUCUGCAGCCUGCUCAAGCGUGUGAGUCCUGUGGCUUCACCUUAUUCUGGCUUGUGUGUUCGUUUGUUUGUGGUGGAUCUUUUUAAAUCUGUUCGCAGAGAGCGUGCAAUUUCUGACACUGUUUUAUUUGCUCCUCCCGCGAGUGACAGAGCAGAGUGUCCCAACAAUACUCAAUGUAUUUCGCGUCAGGGGCCUGUGGGUCAGCAAGGUUAUUAAUAAACAUAGCCUCUCGUUCUAAUUUA